UACGUAGGGUGCAAGCGUUUAUCCGGAAUUAUUGGGCGUAAAGAGCUCGUAGGCGGUUUGUCGCGUCUGCUGUGAAAACUGGGGGCUCAACUCCCAGCCUGCAGUGGGUACGGGCAGACUAGAGUGCGGUAGGGGAGAUUGGAAUUCCUGGUGUAGCGGUGGAAUGCGCAGAUAUCAGGAGGAACACCGAUGGCGAAGGCAGAUCUCUGGGCCGUAACUGACGCUGAGGAGCGAAAGCAUGGGGGAGCGAACAGG
rnacentral:rRNA from 1 species